AACAAACUGUGUAUGACGAGCGUAUGCUAGUCUACGUGUGUUCAAAUGUCACUAAGCUCUAUGCCUCACGUUGAGUUGUUUUUACUCAACUAUUUGUUUUCUGAGUGUUUGACAAAUUCAAUGAUCGAUUAACUUAUUUUAUGUGAUUAAAAUAAUAUCCAGUCUAUAUAUACUGCGUUUUCGUAGCGAUUAUAAAGACGUUAAGUGACAUUUCGAGUGAUUCCGUAACUAGUUUUGCCAGAAAGUACGCAAGUUCAAGUAUUAAACUUGUAUGGUAUAAAUGCAAUAAACUGAACAAGUAUUUUUUUACUCAAAUUUGGGUUUUAGUCGAACUACUCAAAAGUUGGGUUAAAUGUACGUAUUUGACAGGAUGGAAAUCACCCAUUUCUUGAGUUCCACUGUCUUUACUUAAUUUUGAGUUUAAAAAAACUCAUUUUUGAGUACUUCGAUUUCUCCGUGUAGGCACACAAAAUCUAUGCAUAUUGUUCGUUAUUAUUGCCAUAGCGUAGCUCGCGGUUUAAAAUAAAAGUAAGUUGCAUUUCUAUCAUCGUCAAAAGCACAAUGCAGUGUUGUUUUCCUUCUUGCGGUGUCGAUUUUCAUAAUCUGAAGAACAAUUAUAACGAUGAUAACAUUUCGCAUCAUAAGUUUCCAACCAAUAUCGAUGCGCGGGAUCAAUGGCUAAAUGCCAUUGCUAACGCGGAUAAAAAUUGUUAAGAAAACUAAAGACAUUCAAUGCACAUUCUCACAUACCAGCUAUGCGCAGUUUUUGUCUUGUUUGGCGCAUUUUGUCCCAUUUUCUCUUAUACGGAUGGUAAACAUUCAACAAAUAUAUGAGUGUGCGUGAAAAUUGCAACUGGAGUAUAAAUUUACACGGAGAAAUCGGCAAAUGCUAUUUAACAUAUUAUAAAUGACAUUCCAAAUAUUAACCCACUUUAAUCAUUGCAACUGAUAACAAAAACGCUUGGCCGCAAUUUUUUUAUACUUUGCAAAUCUUAUUUAUGAGAUAUAAUAAGCUGAGCAUAUGACAUAGCAGAUAUUACUCUAGGGACUUUAUAAAAUUCACUAGUCAUUUUCUUCACCUAUUGUACAAAAUGGAAGCCAUCGCAAACAUCUCCAUAUUUUCACGUGUGUUUUCACCUUUUCCAUAAGUUUAAUUCCAUGACAAAUUGCAUUUAAAAAACAUGCACCAUUCACGAAAACAAAUUCGUUCUGUUUGGCCUCGUAUCAGAGCGCGUCGCGGACGGCUCCAUUUUCUGAUCAUUAAUCGGCAUACCAGGAUCUUCUUUGAAAUUGGAAGCUAUGAACAUCAAGCAACAAGAAUUAUUGUCGUUUCGUUAAUCGAGUGAAACUGGCCCGGAAAGAAUCAAACCAAACGGUUCUGUUUCGCGCCACUCCGUGUCGGAUCCGUACGAUCUGCAACGAGGUUCGUGGCUCGAUAUGGAUGGUCAUGAUUAAGGUUUCACGGAUUCUACGAGGAUAUCGUCGAAAUGUUUUACUCUAGUAGAAGAUGUAGUAUAUUUAUUUUAGUAAAUUAUUAUUUAUCACA